rnacentral:misc_RNA from 1 species
GAUGAAGAACGUAGCGAAAUGCGAUAAGUAAUGUGAAUUGCAGAAUUCAGUGAAUCAUCGAAUCUUUGAACGCACAUUGCGCCCGCCAGUAUUCUGGCGGGCAUGCCUGUUCGAGCGUCAUUUCAACCAUCAAGCCCCCGGCUUGUGUUGGGGACCUGCGGCUGCCGCAGGCCCUGAAAACCAGUGGCGGGCUCGCUAGUCACUCCGAGCGUAGUAAUACAUCUCGCUCAGGGCGUGCUGCGGGUUCCGGCCGUUAAAAAGCCUUAUUUACCCAAGGUUGACCUCGGAUCAGGUAGGAAGACCCGCUGAACUUAAGCAUAUCAAUAAGCGGAGGAA